rfam:Pantoea ananatis LMG 20103, complete genome.
AUCGGUUUGGAACACAGACCUUAUGAAAGCAGUUUUAGUAAAGCAGUCCUCAGUUCAAGCGUCAUUCCCAGAUGCCCUUCUUCAUGAGCCUCCUCCUAAGUGCCCAAUAAGUAAAAUCUGCAAAACAGGCCAUCUUCGUCACCUUGCGUGGCUCAAAAUGAAAAGGACACAUCUAUGUCAACUAAAAUGACUGGUUUAGUAAAAUGGUUUAACGCUGAUAAAGGCUUCGGCUUUAUUUCUCCUCAGGACGGCAGCAAAGAUGUAUUCGUACAUUUCUCUGCUAUUCAGAGCAGCGAUUUCAAAACAUUAGAUGAAGGCCAGAAAGUGGAGUUCUCAAUCGAGAACGGCCCUAAAGGUCCUUCAGCUGGCAAUGUUGUUGCUCUGUAACAGCUGAUGCCCUCACGACCGCUUACGAUAGCGAUGAUGGCAACAGCCUGAGCAGUUAAGUCGUUGUGAAAAGAACCCGCCUUGUGCGGGUUUUUUUA